UUUUAUUUCCAAAAAGAUGCUUUUGUUUUACUUUUUCUGUUUUGUUUGCGUAAACGUCCAUUGAUUUAAUUUGAAUUAAUAUGUGCAAUUGAAUAUGAUCGAUGUUUGUCAAAAAUACAUGCGUAAAACGGAAAUAGCGAUUACAAAAGACUUCAGGAUCGAGGAGAAGGUCUAACCAUGCGUUCCAAUGAAUCCGGUUGCUAAUUCCAUCCCCCAGCCAGACUCUGUUGAAUAUCUCUACCACCAGACAG
rnacentral:lncRNA from 1 species